UACGUAGGGUGCAAGCGUUGUCCGGAAUUAUUGGGCGUAAAGAGCUCGUAGGCGGUCUGUCGCGUCUGGUGUGAAAACCGGGGGGCUUAACCCUCGGCGUGCGGGCGAUACGGGCAGACUGGAGUACUGCAGGGGAGACUGGAAUUCCUGGUGUAGCGGUGGAAUGCGUAGAGAUCCGGAAGAACACCGGUGGCGAAGGCGGCCUGCUGGGACAGUGCUGACGCUGAAGCGCGACAGCGUGGGGGAGCAAACAGG
rnacentral:rRNA from 1 species